rnacentral:rRNA from 1 species
CAGCAGCAGCCGCGGUAAUACGAAGGGGGCUAGCGUUGCUCGGAAUUACUGGGCGUAAAGGGAGCGUAGGCGGACAUUUAAGUCAGGGGUGAAAUCCCAGAGCUCAACUCUGGAACUGCCUUUGAUACUGGGUGUCUUGAGUGUGAUAGAGGUAUGUGGAACUCCGAGUGUAGAGGUGAGAUUCGUAGAUAUUCGGAAGAACACCAGUGGCGAAGGCGACAUACUGGAUCAUUACUGACGCUGAGGCUCGAAAGCGUGGGGAGCAAACAGGAUUAGAUACCCCAGUAGUCCCUGUCUCUUAUAC